CUGACUGAGCACUGAUUGGAGGAGAGAGGGGUCAGGAAGAGCAGUCCCGCGCGGGGAUUGGGCGGCGGCGCGUCCCAUGGAAACGGAAUCUAGAACUGCGGCCAGGGUUUGGCACGGGGGCGGAGCCGGGUCUUCCCCGGGCGCCUGCGCCGACCCGGUUUCCCGGCGCCAUUUUGUCCCGGCAGCAGCGGCCACGGCGCUAUCCCAUUUUCUGUGUCCCGGGGAGCGAGGAAGCGGACUCUUCCCCGAAUGGUGCUGAAGACAAGACACCUCUGUGACAACUCAAUCACCGAAUAACACUGGCUUUUGUGGGGAGAACCGAGGUGCUCUGGCUCUGGAAGACCUAGGAUCUGCUACUUGUUUUAAAAGCCUGGUUCUGGGCAGAGACCCCUGAAGCACAUCAGAACCUGCUAAGUCCUGGGAGCCAGAAGAGGGGCCUGACCACUUCCUGGAACCCCAGGACUAGCCCAAGUAGUUGAUACAGGUUGGACUUCUACAGUGGCUCAAGGUAGCAUGUUCUUUCCUGCCCACAGUGGCUGCGAGCCCGAUUGGAGGAAAAUUGUAAAAAGCAUGCUAGCAGAGAUUUUACGACAGCUCAAAACAUGGACCAGACCCUGAGAAGCCCGUUGGGGAGAAUUGUACCCUUGUCAGCGCGCGCCGUCAGCACCUCUGCCAUCCGUUGUAGCUGCAGCUCCGUCUCCAUCUGAGGCCGUACAGUCCCCUGAGGCUACUAGAGUCUAACUGGAAACCACCCCGAGCUGCCUCUCUUAACUUCAUGUACUCAGGUUUAAAGCACCAGGAGUCCAACCAGUACUACUCCUGUCUGUAAAGACCUUCCAGGUACUCAGCCUGUUGUGGGAAAAAUCAACCAGGAGCCUUUAAAGAGAUCUAACAGGCCCUUACUAAAUAAAGUGCCCAGCUUGGACUCCCA